CCUGACGACCACAGCGACUGUGAACCACCCGACCCCAUCUCGAACUCGGUAGUGAAACCAGUCAGCGCCGAUGAUAGUGUGGCAUAUGCCAUGUGAAAGUAGGUCAUCGUCAGGC
rnacentral:rRNA from 14 species